rnacentral:rRNA from 1 species
ACUCCUACGGGAGGCAGCAGUGGGGAAUAUUGCACAAUGGGCGCAAGCCUGAUGCAGCCAUGCCGCGUGUGUGAAGAAGGCCUUCGGGUUGUAAAGCACUUUCAGCAGUGAGGAAGGCGGAGUCGUUAAUAGCGGCCUCGUUUGACGUUAGCUGCAGAAGAAGCACCGGCUAACUCCGUGCCAGCAGCCGCGGUAAUACGGAGGGUGCGAGCGUUAAUCGGAAUUACUGGGCGUAAAGCGCAUGCAGGUGGUUUGUUAAGUCAGAUGUGAAAGCCCGGGGCUCAACCUCGGAAUAGCAUUUGAAACUGGCAGACUAGAGUACUGUAGAGGGGGUAGAAUUUCAGGUGUAGCGGUGAAAUGCGUAGAGAUCUGAAGGAAUACCAGUGGCGAAGGCGGCCCCUGGACAAGACUGACGCUCAGAUGCGAAAGCGUGGGGAGCAAACAGGAUUAGAUACCCUGGUAGGAUAGGG